GCCCGCUCGCCCGCGUCUGGCCUCAGCCUCCGCCCCGCAGCCGGCGCCUCCGAGCCUCCAGACGCCCAAACUUUUAUUGUGCUUGCAGACCACGACUCCGCGCUCAGCGCCCGUGCCCUGCAGACCCCCGGCCCUGCGGACCGGGCGCGGCGGCCCCCACACCCCUCCCUGCGCCCGGAGCCCCAGCCGCCUGCAGGAGGCACACCAGGAAGUUGGGGCUGCGGCUGCGGCAGCUGCAGCUCCACGUGGCUGAUUUAUAGCUGGCAGCAUUUCUUUUUUUUUUAUUGAUUGUUCUCGCUUUCUCACUCGGCUCCUUAAGGUGGUGCGUCUGUGACCGGAAGGCCCAGGGAUUCAGUUACCACUGCGACAUACUGAAAUCUUCGAAAAAGAACCCAAGUCUUCAAUCAUUGCUUAUUUCUGAUGACCUUGCAAAGAAAUACUCUGCAUACUGUCUACAAAGUGAAGGUGUUGGACCAACAUGGUCUUUAACAUCCCUUCCAACACUGAAAUUCUGAGAUCGUCCUAUGGUGCUGCUAUGUGGCUGAGACUUCUACAUUUGUGCUCUCAUGUGGGAUACUAUGAAGUGAGAUUUUGCCUUGUACUUUUUUUCUUUUCUGAUGUGGAUGACUGUUUCUAUCAUAAGCUUAAGAGAGAGAUAAUUCCUGAGUUGUGCUCAUCUGGAAUAAAAAGACUGUUGUCAAGGGCUUCUGUUUGAUGAGGUUAAUAGUCUCCUAUAGUGUUUCGAAAGCAAAAAUACUUAUUUAAAAGCCCUCUUAGAUUUCACAUUGUCUAAGAGAAAACUACCUCUUCAUAAUUUGGCACUGUCUUUGGGCUCCCGUAAUCCAGAAGUGCUCUUCUAAUUUAACCAUUUAUUUAAGAGGUAAUUGAAACGGGAUUUUGUCUCUGACCACUCUUAUUUGAAACCUCUUCAACAGCUUCCUAGGGCUCUUUGAAUCAAGCCCAGGCUCCUCGACUUGUUACAAAGACCUCGUGAGCUUGUCUCUGCUUCCCCCACGGCCGAUCAGGUGCCCUCUUGCCCGAGUAAACCAGAGCCACGUUGCUUUUGCUUAUAUCAUUCCCUUGCCUAGAAAACUCUUUUGGUAGUUUCUGAAACAACCCCCACCCUUCAUCAAACUCCUGUAAACCCUUCAGAUUCCAGUGUAUGCAUCAAUCCCUUCAGAAACCCUGCUUCCCGUUCUCUGAGCCCCCUGUAAGUUCUCUCUGGAGAUGUAGAGUUCUACCUUGUAAUUCGUUAUUCAAUGCCUGUCACCUCCAUUAGGCCAAGUUUCUUAAGGGCAAGGACGGUGUUCUCCUGCGGCAUUGCAUUUCCAGGUGUUGGCGGCGCUGGGCUCUGAAGAGAUGCUCAGUAUGGGAGAGGGUGAGCGAGUGAAAGUGCAUUUCGUGUGUCACUGAUUGAAGCACAGACACAUUUGGAAGCAUUCUUUAAUAUUUUGAAUUAACAGAUCUUAAAAGGCAAUAAUAGCUACAUGUGUUGCAGAAGUAUUUCACAGGUAGAUGAUUUUGCCCUUAUUUGGGAGUUGGGAAAGAACUUUCAUCCGACCAAAAUGAGUACUGUCGUUCCUAGGUAAUAAACCGAUAGCUAUUUGAAACGACCUAUCAGCUCACUGAAGGAAAAUGUGGGAACCUGGUACCUCUAAGACAAACUAGCCUCUCUCUUCUUCGCGUCAACAAUCUCUUGAAACAUAACUUUGAUGUGACAGGGGUGGAAUGGAAAGAAGCUAUGUCAGCAAAAGGGCCAGAGAACCCUCCCUGCCAUAGGUAGAAUGAGGGAUUUGGCUAGACUCAAGUUCCUAAUUUCCCUUCAAGUUCUAAAAUUUCAUAAAAUGAAGGCAUGAAAUUCACCGGAGAAAGACUUGCGUUGUCAGCAGAGUGGUUAAAUGACCUGAAAGUCUUCAAAACUGAUAUUUGUCAAGGUCUUGCUGCAAGUCUUCUUAUAAAUUGUGCACAUAAACCUCUGCACCAGCAGACAGGCAGUUUCAAACAGCUGUCAUUUCACAUCUUCUCCCCAGAGAUCUGUUUACCCACCUCUUCCUAGAACCUGGUACCAAGGCAAACUAGCCUCUCUCGUUAGUAUUGAUAACCGCUUAGAGCAUAUCUUUGAAACAAUGGGUAGGUAUAAUAGAAACUGUCGAUAAAAUGGCCAGAGAACCGGCCCUGCCUUGUGUAGAGUGAGGAGGUUUGGCUGGUCCACACUGGGCACAGCAGUAGAGUGAGGAGGUUUGGCUGGUCCACACUGGGCACAGCAGUGGUCUCUGGAGGAAGGUAAAGACGUGUGGACCUGCAGAAAGGGGCCAGGGAGGGACAUUCCCGUGCUUGAUCUAGAACCUAAAGACAACCUAAAGGCAAGAUCUAGAACCUAAAAGGCAACCUGUUGGAAACAACAAAGAAGUGCUUUGCACCGUUUUCUGAAUGUUUUUGAUUAAUUUAAAUAUGAUUGGCUUAUUUUUAGUAACAGACUAUGCCUACGGUCCUGUUUUAGACAUUUGAGAGGAGAUAAACAGAGUUGUGUGCAAAUGAAGAAACUAAAAUACAGACUACAAAGAGAUUAUGCAGACAGAGUAUCCCAAACGGUCCAGGAAUUAGAAGCUGGCCAGGGACUAGAUAUGUUAAUUCCAAACCUUUUGUCUUUUAACUGUGCCAUACUGCAUCUUGCUGAUGUCCGGAAAUUUCCUCUUUUCUUUAGUUAUUGUCUAGAAACUGAGCAAGGACGGUUCCUCUUUUGUUUGAACUUGCAGAUCUGUAUUAAACGACUGUUUGGAGAGCCCCGCCAGGCAGCUGUGAGCCAAGAGUUCUGCCCUUCAGGGGAGCUCAAAAUACUGUCGUUUAGACAAAUGUACCUUUUGGCAUAUUGCAAAGAGUUUUGAAAUUUGAAUUUUAAUUACAUUUCUUUUUGGAGAGUGGUCUUUGAAGACUUGGUUUUAUGGGAUAAGCUUCUUUAUUCAAACCAUAUAAUUUGAUUGUUAACAAAUUGAAUCCUUUUCUAUCAUAUUUUCUUAUAUAUUUUUAGAUAUUUCUAUUUAUUCAAUGUAUUUUUUGAGCAUUUAUCAGGUGCCCGCCAUUGUUCUAGAUGCUGGUGUUAUAGCAACAAACUAAAAGAGCAUGAAUCCCUGUCCUCAUGGAGUCUGACAAUAAACCAGAUUUGUAAAUUAUUACACGUUAUUGAAUAAACUGCUAUAAUCA